UUUUUAGACCUAUGCAAUGGGUGUUAUAGGCAAUGCUUCAGGGUGGGAACACAGCAGAGCCCCUAUAAUAUUUAUGUGCCAUAGUAAUCUGAAAAAGG
rnacentral:SRP_RNA from 1 species